CCGGGACAACUCAGCUGGUAGAGCAGAGGACUGAAAAUCCUCGUGUCAC
rnacentral:tRNA from 1 species